UUAAUAGAGGAAGUUUUCACAUUAGAGCAGCUCAUGACUUGUUUGCUCAGGUCAGCCCCUCGUAGAAAGGGAGUCUAAAAGUCACAUUGGGUAGGUCAGAUCCCUACUUUGCGUUUACAUUAGCGCAUCAUUUAACUUUUCUGUGCUUGGCAGUUUCCUUAUCCUUAAAAUGUAGGUGUAAAUAAUACCUGCUCCGUCGAGUCGUAAUGGGAAUUUAAAAGGUAAAUUAAUAUACAGUGCUUAGACUAGAUCCUGGCACAACGUCAGUGAUCAGUAAAUAUUAGCGAUUACCAUGUUUCAUUCAAGCUGUAAUAAUGUUUCAUUAUGACGCUGAAGAAAAUACUGUCCUUUAAUAAGGCCCCUAAAACAGUCCCAUUAUCUAGCCAUUAUCCUUUGUCUACACCUCUUCUAUUCCCUGAACCUUCCGAGCUACUUUCUAUCUUUAGGGGGUUUUGAAGCUCUUUGUUAUUGUCCCUGCUGAAAUGCUCUUUCCCUCAUCGGUUCUUAAUGAGUGGGUUUUUUUACUCGUGCUUCAAAUGUGAGCUCAAAAAAAAAAAAAAAAAGGGGGAUUCUUAACCUUUCCCGAUAGUCUCAGACACUAGGUGCUGCUCCCUGUUACCGGCUAUGUUCGCUACAGAAUUUUAACCGUUUAAGUGAUACAAUUAGUUCAUUGGUUGUCUCUUCACUUCACAGUGUAUUUUGGACCCAAAAUUGUCAUUAGUACAAAAUAACGAUUUGAAUGUGUAUAUGCGUAAGGAAUCCAAUUGUGAAUGAAUCAAUUACCCUGUAUACACUUGGUAUUAGGCAUAGUUAGUGCUAUAAACCCAGGCAUCAGAUAAUCCUGAUACAUGAGAUGAGACUUUUUUUGUUGUUCUUGAAACUCGAGAAGGUAAAUGCUUCACUGUAUGCAGGUGUACUAUACCAAUACCAAGUAAGUAUGUUUGGUUUUGUUGACUAAGUAGGAAAAAAAGGUCUUUUUGAUUUUUGCGAAUUGUGUGAAACAAUUGUGUGGAAGUAUUACGCUUGAAAUAUGCGAAUCAUAGCAUGACUAUUGCCAGCUGCCUUCCAUUUUACCUGGUGCUUUAAAUAUCCCCAGCUUAAGCUGCUUUCCCAGGCUGCUGUGGGGCUGCAGGAAGCAGGGCUGUGUCCCUGGUGUGCAUUGCAGGUGAUUGCCCUGAGGCGGUUGCCUGCAGGCGGAAGUCAUUGAGAAUCAGAGUAAGUUGGAGCUAAGGAUCCUGCUAGAACUUUGCAAGUACAGAUUUGUUUGCAGGACAGACUAGUUCCAUUAGGUUGUAUUCAUUAUCUGCUUCUGUUCCUUUUCUUCUGUCCCUUUUCCCGUUACACUUGUCCCACUGUCUUUUCUAGGCUUAGAUGUUUCUCUUUGCUUUUUCCUGACUUCCUGUAACUUCGCCCACUAGGAAACAUUCUCUCCACCCCCAACCUCCUCUUUGGCUUGAAAAUUUGAGGGAGGCUCCCCCUCCCACUCCUUUGAAAUGCUUUAAAAUGUGAAUCUCUGAAGCCUUGUACUAUUUAGGCAGUGAAAAACUGAUUAAAAUUAAACCUGUUCAAAGACAUUAAACUCCUGUUUGACUGGGAGAUUAAGGUUUGGCAUAGAAAAUGAAAUUCUAUAGUGUAGAACCUUAUGAACCAGAACCAAUAAAACGGUUCACCAGGAUGGGAGUGUUUUCUACUUUCUGGAUCACUGAUCGCUUAGUACAGAAAGUCCAACAUCACCAAAACUCAGCAGUUAGCAGCUUUGCCAUACCUUACUCUGAAAGGGAAUUGGCAGUGCCAAAUUGCAGAUAUUUUGAUAAUAAAAGGGACUCGUUUUUUCCCACCACUGUUUGAACCCAACAGUUCUUAAGAGGCUGACAUGAAAAUCUCAGAGGAAUCGAUGCAGUUUGGUUUUUUUUUUUCCUUUGGAAGUAUCCUUCAAAGAUAGAAAACUAGCUCCCCUCCUCACCUGGAAGAGGCCUUAUCUAUUUGACAACCAUCUUCUUUUACAGUUUUUAGGCCCCAUUUGGGAAGAUGUAGAUUUUAUUGGUAUGUCUGAGUAAUGUUUGAUGAUGUUAGGGAAAAAAUAGUCCUUUGUGAUGGAAAUGUUUACUCAAAUUGUAGUUUGACUUGAUUUAUGAUUGAUUUUAACUAAGUACAUAGGUAACUUAUUUUUGCCCUUUGCUCUGUGACACACACUCUUAUAAACCCUUUAAUUUGUCCUUAUAAACUUAUUUAAUCAUUAAUAAAAUUUAAAUAAGUUAAAUAACCUGCCUAGAGUCCCACAGUUAAACACAGGUUGUCUGACCCCAAAGCCUAUCCCUAUAACUACUCUACUAGUGCCUAAGUCUGUUUUUCUUAAAGACCAAAAAUGUAAUUAUUCUGAAUUAAAAAAAAAUUGAAUUGGCAGGAGUAUUUUUCCCCUGAUAUGGGCAACUGAUAACUAGCAGAUGUAUAUUUUAAUUACUUGUUUUCAAAUAGAAAUGCAGCGACUGAUACACUAUUCAUUUCAAAGUAAUAUUGACAGUUAUUGUUCUUUUGCUUAUAGAAGCACUUUUAUAUUUGUUGGAAGGAAUUUUAGACAUGGCAGAAACUGAUAUCUGAAAGGUGAUAUUUAAAAAUAGUAGUGCAUUUUGAUUUCUCUUUUUCUGUCUGAAAAAAUAAGAAUACUUAUUUACUAUGAUUGGAUUUUAGGUGAUAAAUAUUAGAUGAUUUGGAAUAUUCUUGGCAUUUCAGAACCCUAAGGUAGAAAGCACAUAAACAUGGAGCCAUGUUUUUCUGAGAGUCCCAACUUCAGAAAGGUGGGGAAAGGCCAGAGCCUAUCUUACUACCUUAGAUGUGCAUUUCUCUUUUCUGGGUAAGCCUAUUAUUGAGCAGGACCUUUUGUGAAUCGUUGAGUUUUUUUUUUUCCCCUGUCUUAAAUAUUAAGAAUCUUUAAAAUAAAAAAAAAAAAACUUAAAAUGAUUAACACGUGCUAUUCAGCAAUAAAAAAAAUUCUUGAUUAAAAGAAGAUACUGCUUGUUUACUUGUUCGCAACUUAAAAGUUAUUGGAGGUCCCAUCGUCGUGGCUCAGUGGUUAUUAAUGAAUCAGACUAGCAACCAUGAGGUUGCGGGUUCUAUCCCUGGCCUUGCUCAGUGGAUUGGUUAAGGAUCCAGCAUUGCCGUGAGUUGUGGUGGUGGUCGCAGAUGUGGCUCGGAUCCCGCGUUGCUGUGCCUGUGGCGUAAGCUGGCGGCUACAGCUCUGAUUGGCCCCCUAGCCUAGGAAUCUCCAUGCGCCACACAUGCAGCCCUAGAAAAGACAAAAAAAAAAAAAAAAAAAAAAAAAAAAAAUUACUGCCUUCAAAACAGCAUAAUGUAAGGGCUUCUCUGUGGUCAAGUUUCAUGGGUCUUCGAUAAAAAUCAGUGAAUUAUACUAUGGGUGACUGAGAGGAAGACAGUUCCACCAGGGAAGGAAAGAAAGGCAGGUGGGAAAAGGCUUUUGUGGCUGAGAUGGCACCUGAGCCACAUCUGAAAGAGGAGGAAGCAGCAUCACACAAAUAGGGAGUUAGGCCCACAGCGGAUGCGUUGUCUCUCGGAAGGACUGAACGGGGUUUAGUGUGGCCAAAGGGAAGAGAAGACACAGGCAAGUGUCAAAAAUGUUUGCAUCUGAGACAGUGCUGUGCAGCAAAAAUAUAAUGCGAGCCACGUAUGUAAUUUAAAGUUUUAGUACCAUAUUACCACAAGUAAAAAAUAAACAGGUAAACUUAGUUUCCUCCAAGGAGAAAAGUUAGAUGGGAGUCACAGUACGUCAUGUAGGAUUUUUCUUUUUUUUUAAUUUGUGAAAGAGCCUUAGACAUCCUUUAGGCUAUAAGGAAGGAUGGGAAGAAUGAAAUAAUUGGUGAGGUUGAGGGAGGUUGGUGAAGAUUACUUGGAGAGAUUAAUCUUGAUUGGUAUGGAGGAGACCUCUUCCUCUGAAACUAGGAGGAGCAGGGAAGAUAAAGAUUUGUGUCUCUUUGGAGAUUUUUAAGUCCGUGAAAAAUGAAAAUAUGCAUUCUCAAUUACAGCUUUUCAGGAGGAAAAAUUAAACUUUAAGAAACUCCAGAUUGUUUAUAAGUAGAGAACUCUAUUGUGUUCAUUUUCCCCCUUAAAAUGACAUUAAUUCUUCAUGCUGGAAAAAAGGCCUAGGAUUCUAAGGGCCAUAGAACAUAGAUGGUGAGAAGUGUCAUGAAAGACACCUGUGUAGUUUUGUCUAAAUUUUGAUAGGAUGAUUCAGGACUGACUAUACCCCGGACAAGGCCUUGGAAGUUUUAAGUUAAUUUCUCAAGGGAGGAAUGGACACAGAUUGCUAGGAAUUCUUGAUGUCAAGUACGUAGGCAUAGUGAUGGAGAGGAGGAAGAAGAGAAUAUGGGGACAGGAAGCGACACGGACUUUAGUAACAGAAGGUAUCAGUGGAUAACACAGUCCUUGCUGUCUUAGUUCACCUUGAUAUUGUCUUCAACAUUGUUACAAAUCCAUCGCAUGUUACAGGAAAUGCAUCUCAAACGCUCCUAAACAGAGAGGUCCUGGCUCACAACAUCGAAACGUGGAGGGAUGUCAGGGCAAGGUUUGAUCCGGAGGCUCGGGGUGCCCGUGGGAUCCACCUCCGUUUUCUGAGAUACUCUGGACUGUGCCCUGCUCCACACGUUUGUGCCCUCCCCAGGCUGGAUGUCCUCACUACCUUGCGUAUUCAUGCCAUGCUGUUCAGAUAUAACAGCCUGAUGCAGUCACCUCACAUUCUAGUGUGAAUGUUGAUACUCCCUCUGAUUAGCCCUCAGCUGGCUUGCAGACUCUGCCCCUGGGGCUGGGAAUGGAGUUAGGGUCCCUGGGAUGACGUAUCUUCAAUGGAAAUGGGGCUUGAAUGGGAGGUGGGAAAACAGCCGGAUGAGGUAACUGAGUUCUCUGAGUACCAAGGGGAAGGGAGAGGAAACACACAGCCUCGGGCUCUUGGACAAGUCGCCUGAAGUGCACACCUUUAAUGUGUCUUGUUUUACGUUAAAUAGGGAUGAUGCAUUUACAUUAUAUUCUUCAUUACACUUUUGUUUAUGUCAAAAUUCUUUCAAAAUUUGAGUAAAAUGAAUGAUCCGAAGCUGUCGUUGAACCUGUGGUUCAGACCUCCGUUGCAGUAGAUACCUGGAAACCAGUCCUGCGUAAUCUUAAUGUAUUACCCUCUAGUGCAAACACACAUUUGAUAUAUAUAAAAAAAAGAGGGAGUUCCCGUCGUGGCGCAGUGGUUAACGAAUCCGACUAGGAACCAUGAGGUUGCGGGUUCGGUCCCUGCCCUUGCUCAGUGGGUUAACGAUCCGGCGUUGCCGUGAGCUGUGGUGUAGGUUGCAGACGCGGCUCGGAUCCCACGUUGCUGUGGCUCUGGCAUAGGCCGGUGGCUACAGCUCCGAUUGGACCCCUAGCCUGGGAACCUCCAUAUGCCACGGGAGCGGCCCAA
rnacentral:lncRNA from 1 species